rnacentral:rRNA from 1 species
CACGUAGGGCGCAAGCGUUGUCCGGAAUUAUUGGGCGUAAAGAGCUCGUAGGCGGUCUGUUACGUCUGCUGUGAAAACCCUGGGCUUAACCCUGGGCUUGCAGUGGAUACGGGUAGACUAGAGGCAGGUAGGGGAGAAUGGAAUUCCCGGUGUAGCGGUGAAAUGCGCAGAUAUCGGGAGGAACACCGGUGGCGAAGGCGGUUCUCUGGGCCUGACCUGACGCUGAGGAGCGAAAGCGUGGGGAGCGAACAGG